rnacentral:rRNA from 2 species
GAUUUACAUUUGAGUGAGUGGCGAACUGGUGAGUAACACGUGGGAAACCUGCCCAGAAGCGGGGGAUAACACCUGGAAACAGAUGCUAAUACCGCAUAACAACUUGGACCGCAUGGUCCGAGUUUGAAAGAUGGCUUCGGCUAUCACUUUUGGAUGGUCCCGCGGCGUAUUAGCUAGAUGGUGGGGUAACGGCUCACCAUGGCAAUGAUACGUAGCCGACCUGAGAGGGUAAUCGGCCACAUUGGGACUGAGACACGGCCCAAACUCCUACCGGGAGGCAGCAGUAGGGAAUCUUCCACAAUGGACGAAAGUCUGAUGGAGCAACGCCGCGUGAGUGAAGAAGGGUUUCGGCUCGUAAAACUCUGUUGUUAAAGAAGAACAUAUCUGAGAGUAACUGUUCAGGUAUUGACGGUAUUUAACCAGAAAGCCACGGCUAACUACGUGCCAGCAGCCGCGGUAAUACGUAGGUGGCAAGCGUUGUCCGGAUUUAUUGGGCGUAAAGCGAGCGCAGGCGGUUUUUUAAGUCUGAUGUGAAAGCCUUCGGCUCAACCGAAGAAGUGCAUCGGAAACUGGGAAACUUGAGUGCAGAAGAGGACAGUGGAACUCCAUGUGUAGCGGUGAAAUGCGUAGAUAUAUGGAAGAACACCAGUGGCGAAGGCGGCUGUCUGGUCUGUAACUGACGCUGAGGCUCGAAAGUAUGGGUAGCAAACAGGAUUAGAUACCCUGGUAGUCCAUACCGUAAACGAUGAAUGCUAAGUGUUGGAGGGUUUCCGCCCUUCAGUGCUGCAGCUAACGCAUUAAGCAUUCCGCCUGGGGAGUACGGCCGCAAGGCUGAAACUCAAAGGAAUUGACGGGGGCCCGCACAAGCGGUGGAGCAUGUGGUUUAAUUCGAAGCUACGCGAAGAACCUUACCAGGUCUUGACAUACUAUGCAAAUCUAAGAGAUUAGACGUUCCCUUCGGGGACAUGGAUACAGGUGGUGCAUGGUUGUCGUCAGCUCGUGUCGUGAGAUGUUGGGUUAAGUCCCGCAACGAGCGCAACCCUUAUUAUCAGUUGCCAGCAUUAAGUUGGGCACUCUGGUGAGACUGCCGGUGACAAACCGGAGGAAGGUGGGGAUGACGUCAAAUCAUCAUGCCCCUUAUGACCUGGGCUACACACGUGCUACAAUGGAUGGUACAACGAGUUGCGAACUCGCGAGAGUAAGCUAAUCUCUUAAAGCCAUUCUCAGUUCGGAUUGUAGGCUGCAACUCGCCUACAUGAAGUCGGAAUCGCUAGUAAUCGCGGAUCAGCAUGCCGCGGUGAAUACGUUCCCGGGCCUUGUACACACCGCCCGUCACACCAUGAGAGUUUGUAACACCCAAAGUCGGU